CCUACGGGGGACAGCAGUGAGGAAUAUUGGUCAAUGGCCGAGAGGCUGAACCAGCCAAGUCGCGUGAGGGAAGACGGCCCUACGGGUUGUAAACCUCUUUUGUCGGGGAGCAAAGCGAGUCACGUGUGACUCAUUGAGAGUACCCGAAGAAAAAGCAUCGGCGAACUCCGUGCCAGCAGCCGCGGUAAUACGGAGGAUGCGAGCGGUAUCCGGAUUUAUUGGGUUUAAAGGGUGCGCAGGCGGAGGUGCAAGUCAGCGGUCAAAUUGCGGGGCUCAACCCCGUACUGCCGUUGAAACUGCAGCCCUUGAGUGCGCGAGAAGUAUGCGGAAUGCGUGGGGUAGCGGUGAAAUGCAUAGAUAUCACGCAGAACUCCGAUUGCGAAGGCAGCAUACCGGCGCGCAACUGACGCUCAUGCACGAAAGCGUGGGUAUCGAACAGGAUUAGAUACCCCUGUAGUC
rnacentral:rRNA from 1 species